AAACGACUCUCGGCAACGGAUAUCCCGGCUCUCGCAUCGAUGAAGAACGUAGCGAAAUGCGAUACUUGGUGUGAAUUGCAGAAUCCCGUGAACCAUCGAGUCUUUGAACGCAAGUUGCGCCCGAAGCCACUAGGCUGAGGGCACGUCUGCCUGGGUGUCACGC
rnacentral:rRNA from 2 species